AUGCGAAGGUCCCCUGCAGAGAGGAAAGGGCUCCAAAACGAGACCUCCCUAACACUUGCGACCUUCGCAAAGCUAAUCGGCCGAAUCGUUGGAUGCGCCAAUCAUCAUGGUUUUGGUGCGUCUACAUUAUUCGGCUAUAGUACA